GCUGCCUCCCUGGUUAGGCUGGGAGCUGGAUGAGCAGCUGCUGGGUCCUGCUUUUCUGGUUCCUAGGUGGGCGCUUCAGCAGAUGAUUUUUCUUGACCAGCAGGUGGCGCUGUUGAAAAGCAGUUAGAUCGUGGUACAAGGGAAGCCAAGGCUUUCGGCUGGUAACGCUGGCUGUGACAGACCUGGCCACAUGGCGCUCAGCUGGCCCCACAGCAGGUCUUUCCUUCUCCUGCUCCAGGGCCCUGCCUCUUAGCAAGAGACAGAUUGCAUCCGCUGUCCUCAGACUGGCAAGAGAUAAAUGCAGUCUUUGCCCCCUCGUCGAAGGAAUUUCUCUUUGCAACAGACAGAGACCGUUGGAGAAAAGCACAACCAAUCAAAAUGCAGAGCUGUGAGCCCAGUCCUGGGGGAUACAUCUACAAAACAUCCCCACACCUAAAGCUCAGGGAUCAUUGCAGAAGAGGAAGUGGAAAGACUGCGAGUACCAGAGGAUCGGGGAGUUUGCUGUGAGAUUGUGUCUCCUAGGAACAUUCAUAUGUUGAUAUAUUAACGGGAAGAGGUUAUCAUAAGGUCUGAGAAGUGACUCUUACAGCUGUGCCUCUGUAUCUAUGGGUACACACAUCUAUCUACUGUAUCUCUGUACCUAAGAUGUCCUCGGAGCAAUUGAGAAUAAUUACAUUUAUGUUUUAGACAUAAAAAUUAUACAUCUC